rnacentral:misc_RNA from 1 species
CCAUCCAUAUCUUAUCAUUUGGCAGGCACCAAGAAGAUUCAACAAGAGCUUGCAAAGCCUAAUGUGCUUGAGAGAUUUCUCGAGAAUAAGGAGGAUAUCACCAAGUUGCAAAAAUGCUUUGCUGGCUUGUGGGGUUUGGAUGACUCAGAUAUUGUCAAAAGAGCCAUUGAGAGACCUGAAUUGUUUGUGAUGAAGCCACAAAGAGAAGGCGGAGGGAACAAUAUCUAUGGGGAUGAUGUGAAGGAAAACCUUCUAAGGUUGCAGAGGGAAGGAAAUGAAGAAGAUGCUGCUUACAUCCUUAUGCAACGAAUAUUUCCAAUUGUUUCCCCGAUGUUUUUGGUGCGUAAUGGCAUUUGUCAUAAAGAUCAUGCAGUAUCAGAACUUGGAGUAUACAGUGCUUACUUGAGGAACAAGGAUAAAGUUAUUAUAAAUGACCAAUGUGGAUACCUUAUGCGAACAAAGGUGUCAUCAUCAAAUGAAGGUGGAGUUGCAGCAGGAUUUGCAGUCUUAGAUAGCAUGUACUUGACUUGAUGGAGCAAAUGCUUCAUAAUUGACUCACACAGAGGUUACAGUUCAUCAACAACCAAAUUUGAUAUAACGGGUUUUCCCUUGCAGUUCUUGGAGGAGGGAUUGACAUGGAGGACUUCCCUUUU